ACAGUAUUUUUAUAUCACGGGUUAUCAACAUCAUUUUUAAAGUUGCUUCGUUCCCCACUUUUGACAGUCUCUUUAUAAAUAUCUUAUCGUCAUUCACCUAUGUUUGCCUUGGAUUUACGAUUCUGUUUUCCAAAAAAUGUUCAAAGGAAAAUUGUACAGUGUUAUUGCACAUAAGGUGUUGUAUAAUUAUGAACAAUCUCGUCAAUUUCGUUAGAUUUGUCUGUACGGAUUAUAAAUGAUAUCUUGAACGUCCGAAAAAAUAUACUUAUGUGAAACGGAAUGAAAUAUUUGCCACUUGAUAUUUAGCCACCAACAAAAUCAACCAACCGACAUAAUAUACUAACAGUAUACUUUUCCUAGAAGAGAACUUCUCAUACUUUUCAUUAUAAAGUACAAAUGAAAUCUGUCAUGUCAGUCACACUGUUGGAUGAUGAGGUGGAAUAGUUUUAUUAUACAAACCAUCCUGAACUACUGAGUUUAAAUCAUCACACCUCAGCAAGCACGACUAAUUUAUGCGCAGACCAACCCAUCACACAAUAGCCCAAAAGGAAUCUGUGAUGUACCCGUCCAUAUUCAGAAGUCAUGGAAGUGGGAAAUACAGAUACUGAUACUGACUUUAGUGACAGUUUUAUAUAACAAAUACAGAGAUGAAAUGCUGGCACUCUAAAUUAAAGCGGACAAGAUUUUGUUAUCAUUGUAUUGCAAUGUUGCUGUCAUUUGUAUUAUACAAUCCAUCCUGACAUCAAAAUAUUGCUGAUUUACUAUGCGGCUGCCGCUAUAUAGAUUUACAUAAUAAAGUGCAAAUAUGGUCA